AGAUUGAACGCUGGCGGCAUGCCUUACACAUGCAAGUCGAACGGCAGCACGGGAGCAAUCCUGGUGGCGAGUGGCGAACGGGUGAGUAAUAUAUCGGAACGUGCCCAGUCGUGGGGGGAUAACGCAGUGAAAGCUGUGCUAAUACCGCAUACGAUCUAUGGAUGAAAGCGGGGGACUCGCAAGAGCCUCGCGCGAUUGGAGCGGCCGAUAUCAGAUUAGCUAGUUGGUGGGGUAAAAGCCCACCAAGGCGACGAUCUGUAGCUGGUCUGAGAGGACGACCAGCCACACUGGAACUGAGACACGGCCAGACUCCUACGGGAGGCAGCAGUGGGGAAUUUGGACAAUGGGCGCAAGCCUGAUCCAGCAAUGCCGCGUGCAGGAUGAAGGCCUUGGUGUAACUGUCUUUGUAACGGAACGAAAGGUUCUUACUAAAUACGAAGGCCAUGACGUACCGUAAGAAUAACGACACCG
rnacentral:rRNA from 1 species